ensembl:lncRNA
UUCCUCAUCAGAAGGAAAGAAGGCAGGAAGGAAGGGAUCUUGAAUAAAGGGGAACUAAGCGUGGAAGUUACAAAAAGAAUAUGGGCUACAUAAGGACGUCCAAGUAGACUAAAUAGAAAUAAAAUGACCCCUUUUCAAGGAAAGAAGGAGAGAUAUAAGCAGGAAAGGAAGGGAAGAUGCAGGAAUAGGACAAAGGACAGAAGGAAGCAAUACUGAGGGAGAGCUGGAGAUAAGUAAUAAAGACUGGGAAGCCUUUUUCAAAAGGUUUAUACUGUCACACAAUGAGAGUCCAAAUAUAUACUGUUACUUAGAGUAUCUGAAUACUUCUACUGGUGUUGAUAUCGUUGUUAAAGUUACACACAAACUUUGCCCUCUAACGACCUUGAAGGACCCGAGGAGCUCCUCCGGGCGUUGCGGGCCUGUUUCGGAGGCGAUUAACGUGGCGCCGGGUCGUGCCAAGAGUUCCGGAGAACUCCGGAGACUUCGGGUCCCGGAGAAAGAGGAGCUCGCCGAGUCACAGCGGCUCUUUUGUCUUUGUCUGUUUUUGCUUUUCAUUGGAACGGAGCCACCGUCGUGGGAAGCCCUGGAUUUAUCUGCCAAACUCAGGGAGCGGCCGGGACUCUCCCGGUUCUCUUCCUGCUCCUCGGCUGAUGGGAAUGUUCAGGGACCCCCCCCCCCCCCCCCCCGCCCCACCCCACCCCUCCCUUCCCGCUCUCGGAACACACUGCGGCGUAUUGUCCAGGCCGGGUCCGACGUGGGCGGCGAGGAAAGCGCUCGUAUCCCACCGACGAGAAGCCUGGGAGGUGUUAAGUUCUUCAAACUCCUCAAGCAGGGCGGAGGCUCUCCUGCUUCCUGUUAAUCUGUUUGCACAUUUGCGGCGCUAACAAUGUGUUGACAACACGCUGACAUCACCCAGAUGUCAGAGGCAUCUGCCUCCUGCAGCCGAGCAAAUCGAAUCUCUCUCAUUGUUCCUCCUGCUGCUCCUCCAACCAACAAAUUGCUCGUGUUAACUCACAUGCAGAAGAUGCAGAGACAGUUAUUCAUCCACAGGGUUCCGGAUCUGGUGAGUCGCAACAUUCAUCCAAAGAAUUUAUUUGACCAAUUUAAACUUAUACGAACAAAAUCAAAGCAUCUAAUGUGGUAAAUAUAUCCAAAAUGAAAUACCAAAUGCAUCAAACAUAUCCAAGAUGAAGUGCCUAAUGUAGUAAGUACAUACAAUAUAAAAGUAUCUUAGUAUUUAAUGUGAUAAAUAUACACAAAAGCAAAAUCUCUUUGUAUAGAUCGUUGUAUAUUGUAUACAUCUCUGUAUACAAUAUAGAAGAUAUUCAAAACCCAAGUAUCUGGUUUGGUGAAUACAGGAAAAAUCAAAAAUCGGAUCUAGUAACUAAGUAGUGACAAUAUUCAAAAACAAAUGUGGUAAAGAUGCGUCUUGAGUAUGCGAUGUAGAAAAUAAAUACGAAAUAGAAAGUACAUGCUAUUGUAAUCAUCAAACAUAUUGAAAUGAAUGUUAAUACUUCUGUGUAUCUCUUGUCUCGCGUCCUUUCGUCUCUCUGCCUUCAACCUCACUUUAUUUCUGUCUUCAGCUCUUUGUUCUCUCUCUGCAUCCACCGCCGGUCUCUUCCUCCGAGUCCGUCGCUUCGUCUCUCCUGUUGAAGGGUUUUACAAAUAAUUCAGUCAAUCAAUCCAAACCUAGUCACCAAUAUUUGAUGGAGGUCGAUGCUGAUUUCAUCCUGACAGCUCGCCCUCAGCAUAAAAUGUAUUUCCUUUAAAGGUCAGUUUUUUUCUGAAUCAAUUAGAGCUCCUGACACAUGAAAGUAAAAGGAGCCCUGUGACCUGCUCUCGGAGCCAAUCAGAGGCCUCGGAUUCCUGUUGAUCUCUCUUUAAUGAAAGUCCGUCUCCGCCCGGUUGAAGGACGUCUCCGCAAUUAACGAAGCAGAGUUUUUUCGGCUGGAUGUGGGAAACGAAGCCGGAGGUAAUCCCUGUUUAAUGUUCAACUUUUUUUAAUGACAAGACGAGUCGCCCGCUAAUGAACCCGUGAGCUCCUCCAUCUGGAGUUUUCCAACUUUCUGCGGCUCACCGUCGGUUGGAAAAAGGGUUCCCAUCCGCACGACCCGAGCGGGGUUUAACAUUCGGAUCACAGAGGCGUUAAAUCCUCCUCAGACUCAGACGGCUGUUAAAUGAGGGUCAAAUUAGGGAUUUACACUUGGUGUUUGAUGGUGAUCAGACGAGUCAAACGUCAUUCCGGUCUGCCAGGCGAGUCGGUCCGUCUCUUCCAUAAAGAUGGAAAACUGAUUUGACACUUUUAGUCCUGAAGAACACCGAAGCCUACAUUUCAGUUAGAGUGUAAUUUCUAGACGACAGGUUUGCUUGUUAAUUCUGUUUGCGUGCUAUAAACUACACGUUUGAAAAGCAACUCUCUUUAUUAAAUUGUCUUUUCCAGCCGUACUAUUAGAUAGUUUUACACUUCCACAUUCCUGUUGAAAACAUCAGCUAAAGGUCCAACAUGUCAGCAGCUCUCAUGUUAAUGUUCAAACUCAGGUGAGAAAAUCACACCCUGACUGCAGCAGGUUUUCUCUCCCAGCUCUGAUGGUGUUUCUUCACGUGUGUGUGCGCUUCAUUAACAGUGGGGUGAGCUUCAACCUGCUGAUCAAUCAACAGAAGCUGAACCUUAAACAUUCAGGAUUUAUAUACUUUCAUGCCCGCCAUCAGAUGGUGAACCGAAGAAGAACGUUAGAAAGACAGUUCCCAUGUUAUUCACUUUCUUCAUAUUACAACAAAACAAAUCUGUCGUCUACUAAUGAAGUGAAUUUUAAUAUUUUGGAGAUUUGUACGAUAGAGCCUAAACAAUGAUGGGCCCGACAUUGAGCCCUGGAGAACCCCACAAAUAACCAGAUUUUAAUCAGGCAUCAUCAAUAUAUAUAUUAGUAUUUCUGUGGAACACCAUAUAGAACCUUUGGCAAAGAGGAGACGUUGGUCCUUCACAAAACAAGUUUACUUUAUUCUAGAGUUUACAUGUGAAACAAAUCAGUGAGAGGAUUAAAUGAGUAAGAGACGGUUCGGAGGAUUUGUUAAUUUAAAGUUCACCUUCUCACUAAUUAAAUCUUAACAGGAUUAUGAAAACAUGAGCGGCUUCAUGUCUCCUCCGCUGUGUGACAACGGGACGUCUGAUCAUCCCCUUCACUCCUAUCAGACCUAUUAUAAUCUCAUUAUAGGAAUUAUCUCCAUCCGUUUAUCGAAACGACUUGCUUAUUAUAUCUGUUCUUGUUAUUUCCCACCUACAGCCCGUGUGUCACCCUGAGCAGGGGGGCGGUGGGAGGGUCUUUGAAACAAGUCUCCUGGCUCUCGAUUGUUUUCUUUCCUCUUCUUCACAGCCUGAGAGUAAAGGGACAAACAAACAAUAUUAAAGGAUUCCCCUCUCAUUUGUUCAUUUAUUGUUUGUUCAUUAUUUAUUAUUACAGUAUUUGUAAUUUUAUCUGGUUUAGUAUUAAUGUUAUUACUCUUUUCCAAACAUAAAACCCCAAUUGCCCGAUGAUUAAUCCCAGUUAGAGUAACAACUGAUGUAGUUGGCAAUUGGAGGUUUUACCCUAUUAAAGUUGUCACAUUCAUAAUGGAGGUCAAUGGAGAAAAUCCUUCCAGGGCCAAAUAAUCCUCCAUUCAUAUUAGAUUUCCUCCCGAGUGAAUUAGACACAAAUCACACUAAACAACUCUCCAUGGUUGUAAAUUAUUUGUAUUUCUUUAGAUGUUUCUUUUAAGUAUUUGGGGAUGUAGCUCGGCGAAGCUUCAAAGUCAGUCGGACUGACCUGAGAUCAGCCGUGUGCGUCUCGGACGUCACUUUCUCCUGCAUUCCGAUGAGCCGCGGCCUGCUGAGACCUUGCGAGGCGCGUCGGGUUCAGGCUCGAGAGGAAGACUCGUCACACUGCUCUGAUGAGCUCUAAUGUGUCGGGGUUAAUUGAAGUAAUCAGGGGGGUUAAUUAGCCCCUCCGCUGUGUCUGCCAGGGACCCAGAGUGUUACCAAAGCAACGCUGCCGGCGUGGAGGGGGCGACACCUCUUUAACACGUCGGUCGAAGGCGAAACCCGCGGGGUUAAAUAUUCACUGAGAGACAGAGAGGGUUAACGGCAGAACGAUGGUUGAACAUGUGAGAGGAGGUUUAAGUAUCUGAGAAUCAUUUAAACUUCUAGUAGUAGGGAUAUCAAAUACUGGUUUGUACACAGGUAAAAGAGCAAAAGUUUAUCUCAAGAAAUUUCAGUUCUGUAAUUCACAGAACCUUUUUUUUACCUUAAGGCUUUUGGUCGUACAAGCACAAUUUGUGCUUUAAAUCCCGACUGAUCACACCCUCACUGACCCAUCAUAUCAUCACGGUCUCAUCAAUGACUCGUGGCACAUGGAGUAGAGGGGGAGCGCCAGGUGUCUUCUCACGGCAUCAGAGCUGUUAUCAGUGUAGUAGUUUUCUUUGUGUUGGUGGCAGUGUGAUUUUGUGCGUCUCUUGGUGUGUGUUCAUGUUCUAUGCCCCCUGGUGGAAGGUUUUAAACAGAGCAGCAUCAGCAACUCUGCGUGUGGAAUCAACAAGACAGCGUUGAGACAUUUCAGUGAGUCCUCUCCUCUCUGGUCUCACCCACCUUUGGUUCUAACACAGCAACAGAUACCUACACAUACCUACGUACACACACACACAAACAUCACUUCACACAAAAAACAUCACUACAUACAAAUCUAAUCAUCUUACAUAAAUAUCAUUACUUCACACAAAUGUCUCAUUAUUGGGAGUUUUUUUCCCCCGGCUGUGAUUUGCAAGUUUACAUAUUUGUCUGUUUGUUUCUUUUAGACUGAUUCCUCCCUCCCGAAGCCACAGACGGAGGCGGGGGGGGAGGGGGGGGGGGGGGGGGGCGAGCGAGGUCGAGUUCCUGUUGUCGCAGCGAGAGCGAGAGUGUGAUGUGAGGUUCUAAUUUAAAGAAGCCUUCAGGUCGAGUUCAGGGACGAAGGAGCGUACAAAAGAAACAGUGUUUCCAUUAUUCAUCCGUCAUACAUGUCGGGAUGACUUAUUUAUUUUAUACCCAUCAUGUAUUGAUGAGACACAAG